UUUUUUUUUACUUGUAAAUUUUUACUGUCAAAACAAGCAAUCACAUACUUUCCCUCUCACAGACUAUCACAUUCAGUUUCUGUGAAGAGCAGGACCAGUUUCUGGCUACAGCUUCCUGUAGGUCGGCCUGUCAAAGAGACCUUCAGGUUAUUCAUCUGUUCCUGGUUGAUUUCUACAUCCUCAAAAAGUAUUUUCAGCAGGGUGUCCACAGUCUGUUCAGGAGCCACAAGUGUUCAUUUUAUGUAACUGUCACUUAAAUCAAUUUAAUGCAACCUUGCUGACUAAAAGUAGUCUAUUAAUUUAUAUCUUACUCCAGACUGAAUGGUAAUGUAUCAUGGUUUCCACAAAAUAUUGUGCAGCACAACUGUUUCCAACAUUAGUAAUAAUCAGAAAUGUUUCUUAAGCAGCAAAUCAUAUUAGAAUGAUUUCUGAAGAUCAUGUGACACUGAAGACUGGAGUAAUGAUGCUGAAAAUACAGCUGAUCAUCACAGAAAUAAAUUACACUUUAACAGAGAUUCACACAGAAAACAUGUUUAAACUAUAUUAUAACAUUGUAUGUUUCAUAGUAUUACCGUUUAUGGUAUUUUUCAUCAUGUAUACUCUUUUCCGAAAUUGUAGCGCUAGUCUAUAAAAUGACAGAUGUCAAGCUCCUGCAAAAGGACAAAUUUAAAAACAGUCCACAUUCUGCACUAGAUUACAAGUCUUCUAGAGCAGAGCAGAGCGUUGUGUCAUGUGACUGAUAUUAUGAUAGGUAUUUAACUUUAAUGAUAUAAAACUGUCCCUCUAUGUAAAAGAGGGACGUGUAAAAAAUCUUUUACAUUUUAGCGUUUAUAUUUCUGUAUUGUAUUGUGUUAUAUAUUUGUGUUAGUAAGAGGUGGUAUGAAUUGCUCUGUGUGUAAUGAGCUGGUGGGUUUAUGGUGUAAACUGGCUCUGUGUCAGAAACCCCAGGGCCACACUUUAGCCCCAGUCCGCCCUGCUCGUGACUCAUCUUGAAAACCAGUUUCACUCGUUUUGCUGAAAUGGCUUGUUUUUCUACCUUUCUCGGUUGUUUCUUAAGUUGUUUUCAUGGAUGUGGUGAAGUAGAAAGCAUCAAGUGGAUCUGAGACAGUGCGAGAUCGGGCAAAAGUGAAUCAGUGACAGAAGAUGACAUCUGUUCAACAACUGCUUCUAGACACACUGGCGGAUCUAGUCCGUGACAAAAUGAAGACGUUUAAAUGGCACUUAAAGGAGGAUCAUUUUGCUUCAGCUGCUGAUCUGGAGAAGGCAGAAGAUGCCACUGAUGCAGUGGAUCUGAUGGUGGAACGUCGUGGACCAGAAGGAGCUGUGAAGAUCACACUGGCCAUCCUGAGGAAGAUGAACGAAAACCAUCUUGCUGAACAGUUAGAGGACGAACAUAAAGGUUUAAAGGAUUCAGAGAAUAAACUGAAAGAAGAAAGAAACAUGAGAGAACCUGAUUAUUCUCUACAGUGACAGACUUCAGCAGGUUUUAAUUUAAAAGCAGCCAGCGUUUCCUCUUUCAAACCUGAUGCACAUGACGUGGAUCUGACACACAUCUUCUCCAAACUCUUCCAUCACACUGCUCUGAGCUUAUCAGUGCGUAUGUAUCCUAUUAUUCAGUUCGCUCUUGUCGCUUAUGACAGAACAGCUAAUCACGAUUAUCUUGUCUUCAGAAAAGAUUAUUUUAUUCAUUUACGUCAGAAACAGCGAAUCUCUUUAAAAACGGGCUGUUGUUGUCACUAUAUUGCAUUGUUAUAUUACUGAUUUUUGCUCGCAUUUGGUGCUUGGCGAGUGUUAGGCCCUGCUUAUUUACAUUUAGUCAUUUAGCAGAUGUUUUUAUCCACAGAAGCAAUCAAAAUCAACAAAAGAGCAAUGAUAUACAAGUGCUAUUACAAGUCUCAGUUAGCUUAACGCAGUACACAUAGCAAGGGCUUUUUACAUAAUAUAAUAAAGGAAAAAAGUGAAAAAAAAGUGAAAGAAAGUGAAAAAGUGACGUGACCCAUACUCAGAAUUCGUGGUCUGCAUUAAACCCAUCCAAUGUGCACACACACAGAAGUGAACACACACACACCCGGAGCAGUGGGUAUCAUUUAUGCUGCCCAGGGAGCAGUUGGGGGUUCAGUGCCUUGCUCAAGGGCACCUCAGUCGUGGUAUUGAGGGUGGAGUGAGCGCUGUACAUUCACUCCCCCCACCUACAAUUCCUGCCGGCCCGAGACUCGAACUCACAACCCUUGGAUUGCAAGUCCGACUCUCUAACCAUUAGGCCACAACUUCCCCAAAAAGAAAACAGAUAGAAUAGAAAAAGAAUAGAGCAAGCUUGUGUUAGAGGUCUUUUUUUGCUUUUGUUAAUUGUGUAAUAAAUGAAAAGAAAAUAAAUAGAAUACAAAAAGAUUAGAAAGCUAGUUAGUUUUUUAAAGAAUAGAAUUAGAAUAGAGAAUGCUAGAGUUAGAGGGUCAAAUAAAGAUGGAAGGCUUUAUUUUAUAUCAUUUUAUAUACAUUUACUAUAUCUUCAGAAUUCAUAAGCAUAACCCUUUCAUGUUUGGUCUCAAUUUUACAGUCUCGAUGCCAUUAGAAAAAUGAUCUCAGUCCCAUAUCAGUAGAAUAGACCAAAAAUAAAGGAAAUUCUGUUCUUCUGGUGUGGGUUGUAACUCUGAUAAGGUCUUUGCCAGAUGUUGUUUUUUUCUCAGGUCACCUCAUAUCCCAGCAAAAGUUCUGUGAAGUUUUUAUUAUCUUAAAUGUAUGAUUGUUUUGUUCUGAUUUGGGUAUUUAAAGAGGAUUGGUGAAACAUUCAGGGAAGCAUCUGUCAACAGAACUUCCCGCACGAUUGCCGUGCGUCUCUCUAUUUGCCAGGUCUGCUGACUCUUUAAAAUUAUUCUAGGUUUGUGUUUCAUGCAGAUCAGUUUUGUAAGCAAAUUUUAAUGCAUUUUCUGUAAUUGAUGUAUUCUCAUUUUGGAUUGAUUGAAUUUAUUCUUUAUUGUCUUUUAUUAUUGUUUGAUUAUGCCUGGCAAAAAUAAAUGUUCAUUUUGAUUUAUUCUGGGUUUUCUAGAAAUCAUUUUUCAAGUAGAUUAAUGUGUAGUGGUAUUUCCGCAAAUCUGCGUUCAGGACAGAUCAUACUUUAGCACCAAUGGAUGAAUCAUGGGGAA
ensembl:lncRNA